rnacentral:tRNA from 1 species
UGGCUUAGUCGGUGGAGCAUGGCUCUUGCAACGCCAAGGUUGUGGGUUCGAUUCCCAC